AGAUAGGCACCAAAGUGCUCGUUCGCCACUCAUUUGGCAUCUUCUUCGUUUUCAAAAUCCUAUUGAAAAGAUCAGUGAGCCAUGUUAUACCUGUCUCUCCCAAAACUUUCCACACUUCGAUUGGUAUAUCGUCUGGGCCUACUGCUUUUCUAUGCUUCAUCUUCUUCAAAGCUACAACCACUUAUUCCUUCCGGAUUCUACGAUAAAAAGAGUAGUUUCUACACUCUUCUGAGUUACUCAACUCCCCUAAAGAAGCACUCAUUUCAUGUCUUUCAUUGAAAAGAUUAUGAAAAUAACCUUUCCAUCUGUCUUUAACCGCGUUC
rnacentral:lncRNA from 1 species